rnacentral:rRNA from 1 species
UGGUGGAGUGAUUUGUCUGGUUAAUUCCGUUAACGAACGAGACCUCGACCUGCUAAAUAGUUCGGCAAACCCUUCCGGGUUUGUUCGUGACUUCUUAGAGGGACUAUCGGUGUGUAGCCGAUGGAAGUUCGAGGCAAUAACA